AUGGCAGUGGGAACAGCUUGUGGUGUGUUCGGCGGAGGGACCCAUCUGACCGUCCUGGGUCAGCCCAAGUCUGCACCCUCGGUCACCCUGUUUCCUCCCUCCACUGACGAGCUCAGCAACAACAAGGCCACACUGGUGUGUCUGGUCAGUGACUUCUACCCAGGAGCCGUGACAGUGGCCUGGAAGGAAAAUGGCAGCCCCAUCUCCCAGGGCGUGGAGACCACCAAGCCCUCCAAGCAGAGCAACAACAAGUAUGCGGCCAGCAGCUACCUGAGCGUGUCAGCCAGCAAGUGGAAAUCUGCCAGCCAGUACAGCUGCCAGGUGACCCACGAAGGCAGCACUGUGGAGAAGACAGUGGUCCCCUCGGAGUGUUCCUAAGACACCGAGGCCCCAUAUUCGGGGAUCCUGCUCAGCCAAGUGGCCCAUUCCCCAC